CUGCAGCUAUCAGCAAGGCCAGCCCAGAGAAAGAAAGGCAACAAUAGACCAACAAAGAUGCCAUAGGCCACGCCUUCCUGCUUUAUCCUCCUCCAGUAUCCCUUCAUUCUCCUUCUCCUCUUUCCUCCCCUCCCAAACUCCUUCCUUCCCUCAUUCCUCCACUUUCAUCUCUUUGCUAUUUCUAGAAAGAAUCUUUUGUCUUGCUAGGCAGACCAUUUAUAACAAAGGAAAGACAGGAGGCGUAGAUGAUGAAGCAGAGUAGAGCACUUUUAACUGCAAGAGUGUUAGGAUAUGAACACUGCUGUUAGGAUAGAAAAGAGAAAAUCCUCAGACAUUUUUUUUUUCCAGAGCAAGAGAAAAUCCAGUGACUGAAAAAGAAUAAGAAGAAAAACACUGACCAAGGCAAUAAUUCCAAGAAGUCAAAAAUUAAGGCCUGAGAGGAAGAAGGCAGACUAAAGAAAGUAGGUAAGACAGUGACCUGAACGAAAGUGCUGGCUCCAUGCUCUGUGACGUUGGGCGUCCUCACUGCCCUCGGAAGCACGGUCUUUGUGACACUGGUCAGGUGCAUGAAGUGUUAGAAAAUUUUAUUAAAGAUUCCAUGGUUGCA
rnacentral:lncRNA from 1 species